rnacentral:piRNA from 1 species
UAGGAACGUUUCUUCCUGAGUCAGCCUGUC